CAAUUUUAAAACGCAUCUUUGCUGAGAUGGAGCAGGAUUUGCUGAGGGAGCAUCGGCGUCAGGCUGCCCGCAGGAGGAGGAGGUUGGUGUGUCGCCACCUCUGCCGUCAAAGACGCGGGAUGGUAAGUAGCCUAAUGUUAACACAGGAGCAAAGGGUGAAUAAG